AGUGAACGCUGGCGGUAGGCCUAACACAUGCAAGUCGAACGGCAGCACAUGAGAGCUUGCUCUCUGGGUGGCGAGUGGCGGACGGGUGAGGAAUACAUCGGAAUCUACUUUUUCGUGGGGGAUAACGUAGGGAAACUUACGCUAAUACCGCAUAAGACCUACGGGUGAAAGCAGGGGAUCUUCGGACCUUGCGCGAUUGAAUGAGCCGAUGUCGGAUUAGCUAGUUGGGGGGGUAAAGGCCCACCAAGGCGGCGAUCCGUAGCUGGUGUGGGAGGAUGAUCAGCCACACUGGAACUGAGACACGGUCCAGACUCCUACGGGAGGAAGCAGUGGGGAAUAUUGGACAAUGGGCGCAAGCCUGAUCCAGCCAGACCGCGUGGGUGAAGAAGGCCUUCGGGUUGUAAAGCCCUUUUGUUGGGAAAGAAAUCCAGCUGGUUAAUACCCGGUUGGGAUGACGGUACCCAAAGAAUAAGCACCGGCUAACUUCGUGCCAGCCGCCGCCGUAA
rnacentral:rRNA from 1 species